AGACCCGAAACCCGGUGAUCUAGCCAUGGGCAGGUUGAAGGUUGGGUAACACUAACUGGAGGACCGAACCGACUAAUGUUGAAAAAUUAGCGGAUGACCUGUGGCUGGGGGUGAAAGGCCAAUCAAACCGGGAGAUAGCUGGUUCUCCCCGAAAGCUAUUUAGGUAGCGCCUCGUGAAUUCAUCUCCGGGGGUAGAGCACUGUUUCGGCUAGGGGGCCAUCCCGGCUUACCAACCCGAUGCAAACUGCGAAUACCGGAGAAUGUUAUCACGGGAGACACACGGCGGGUGCUAACGUCCGUCGUGAAGAGGGAAACAACCCAGACCGCCAGCUAAGGUCCCAAAGUCAUGGUUAAGUGGGAAACGAUGUGGGAAGGCCCAGACAGCCAGGAUGUUGGCUUAGAAGCAGCCAUCAUUUAAAGAAAGCGUAAUAGCUCACUGGUCGAGUCGGCCUGCGCGGAAGAUGUAACGGGGCUAAACCAUGCACCGAAGCUGCGGCAGCGACGCUUAUGCGUUGUUGGGUAGGGGAGCGUUCUGUAAGCCUGUGAAGGUGGCCUGUGAGGGUUGCUGGAGGUAUCAGAAGUGCGAAUGCUGACAUAAGUAACGAUAAAGCGGGUGAAAAGCCCGCUCGCCGGAAGACCAAGGGUUCCUGUCCAACGUUAAUCGGGGCAGGGUGAGUCGACCCCUAAGGCGAGGCCGAAAGGCGUAGUCGAUGGGAAACGGGUUAAUAUUCCCGUACUUGGUGUUACUGCGAAGGGGGGACGGAGAAGGCUAUGUUGGCCGGGC
rnacentral:rRNA from 1 species